UACGAAGGGUGCAAGCGUUACUCGGAAUUACUGGGCGUAAAGCGUGCGUAGGUGGUUUGUUAAGUCUGUUGUGAAAGCCCGGGGCUCAACUCCGGAAUUGCCUUUAAGACUGCAUCGCUAGAAUUGUGGAGAGGUGAGUGGAAUUCCGAGUGUAGAGGUGAAAUUCGUAGAUAUUCGGAAGAACACCAGUGGCGAAGGCGACUCACUGGACACAUAUUGACGCUGAGGUGCGAAAGCGUGGGGAGCAAACAGG
rnacentral:rRNA from 1 species